rnacentral:rRNA from 1 species
CCUACGGGAGGCAGCAGUGAGGAAUAUUGGUCAAUGGACGAGAGUCUGAACCAGCCAAGUAGCUUGAAGUCUUCCUUCCCUCUUUUUUUUCCCCUUCUUUUCUCUUUUCCUCCCCUGUUCCACGUGUGGGAUUUUGUAUGUACCAUAUGAAUAAGGAUCGGCUAACUCCUUGCCAGCCGCCUCGGUAAUACGGAGGAUCCGCGAGUUAUCCGGCUUUAUUGGGUUUAAAGGGAGCGUAGGUGGAUUGUUAAGUCAGUUGUGAAAGUUUGCGGCGCAACCUGAAAAGGGAAGGGGACAAGGGCAGUCUUGAGUACAGUAGAGGUGGGCGGAAUUCGUGGGGGAGAGGGGAAAUGAUUAGAUAUCAAGAAGAACUCCGAUUGCGAAGGCAGCUCACUGGACUGCAAAUGAAACUGAGGCUCGAAAGGGGGGGGAGAAAAAAGGAGGAGAGAAAAGGGGAGGC